rnacentral:tRNA from 1 species
GGCCGACUGGCGAAAUGGCAUCGCGUCUGACUACGAUUCUACUGUAAUCAGGAGAUUGCAGGUUCGACCCCUGCGUCGGUCA